rnacentral:rRNA from 2 species
UUAAGCGACUAAGCGUACACGGUGGAUGCCCUGGCAGUCAGAGGCGAUGAAGGACGUGCUAAUCUGCGAUAAGCGUCGGUAAGGUGAUAUGAACCGUUAUAACCGGCGAUUUCCGAAUGGGGAAACCCAGUGUGAUUCGUCACACUAUCAUUAACUGAAUCCAUAGGUUAAUGAGGCGAACCGGGGGAACUGAAACAUCUAAGUACCCCGAGGAAAAGAAAUCAACCGAGAUUCCCCCAGUAGCGGCGAGCGAACGGGGAGCAGCCCAGAGCCUGAAUCAGUGUGUGUGUUAGUGGAAGCGUCUGGAAAGGCGUGCGAUACAGGGUGACAGCCCCGUACACAAAAAUGCACAUACUGUGAGCUCGAUGAGUAGGGCGGGACACGUGGUAUCCUGUCUGAAUAUGGGGGGACCAUCCUCCAAGGCUAAAUACUCCUGACUGACCGAUAGUGAACCAGUACCGUGAGGGAAAGGCGAAAAGAACCCCGGCGAGGGGAGUGAAAAAGAACCUGAAACCGUGUACGUACAAGCAGUGGGAGCACGCUUAGGCGUGUGACUGCGUACCUUUUGUAUAAUGGGUCAGCGACUUAUAUUCUGUAGCAAGGUUAACCGAAUAGGGGAGCCGAAGGGAAACCGAGUCUUAACUGGGCGUUAAGUUGCAGGGUAUAGACCCGAAACCCGGUGAUCUAGCCAUGGGCAGGUUGAAGGUUGGGUAACACUAACUGGAGGACCGAACCGACUAAUGUUGAAAAAUUAGCGGAUGACUUGUGGCUGGGGGUGAAAGGCCAAUCAAACCGGGAGAUAGCUGGUUCUCCCCGAAAGCUAUUUAGGUAGCGCCUCGUGAAUUCAUCUCCGGGGGUAGAGCACUGUUUCGGCAAGGGGGUCAUCCCGACUUACCAACCCGAUGCAAACUGCGAAUACCGGAGAAUGUUAUCACGGGAGACACACGGCGGGUGCUAACGUCCGUCGUGAAGAGGGAAACAACCCAGACCGCCAGCUAAGGUCCCAAAGUCAUGGUUAAGUGGGAAACGAUGUGGGAAGGCCCAGACAGCCAGGAUGUUGGCUUAGAAGCAGCCAUCAUUUAAAGAAAGCGUAAUAGCUCACUGGUCGAGUCGGCCUGCGCGGAAGAUGUAACGGGGCUAAACCAUGCACCGAAGCUGCGGCAGCGACGCUUAUGCGUUGUUGGGUAGGGGAGCGUUCUGUAAGCCUGUGAAGGUGUACUGUGAGGUAUGCUGGAGGUAUCAGAAGUGCGAAUGCUGACAUAAGUAACGAUAAAGCGGGUGAAAAGCCCGCUCGCCGGAAGACCAAGGGUUCCUGUCCAACGUUAAUCGGGGCAGGGUGAGUCGACCCCUAAGGCGAGGCCGAAAGGCGUAGUCGAUGGGAAACAGGUUAAUAUUCCUGUACUUGGUGUUACUGCGAAGGGGGGACGGAGAAGGCUAUGUUGGCCGGGCGACGGUUGUCCCGGUUUAAGCGUGUAGGCUGGUUUUCCAGGCAAAUCCGGAAAAUCAAGGCCGAGGCGUGAUGACGAGGCACUACGGUGCUGAAGCAACAAAUGCCCUGCUUCCAGGAAAAGCCUCUAAGCAUCAGGUAACAUCAAAUCGUACCCCAAACCGACACAGGUGGUCAGGUAGAGAAUACCAAGGCGCUUGAGAGAACUCGGGUGAAGGAACUAGGCAAAAUGGUGCCGUAACUUCGGGAGAAGGCACGCUGAUACGUAGGUGAAGCGACUUGCUCGUGGAGCUGAAAUCAGUCGAAGAUACCAGCUGGCUGCAACUGUUUAUUAAAAACACAGCACUGUGCAAACACGAAAGUGGACGUAUACGGUGUGACGCCUGCCCGGUGCCGGAAGGUUAAUUGAUGGGGUUAGCGCAAGCGAAGCUCUUGAUCGAAGCCCCGGUAAACGGCGGCCGUAACUAUAACGGUCCUAAGGUAGCGAAAUUCCUUGUCGGGUAAGUUCCGACCUGCACGAAUGGCGUAAUGAUGGCCAGGCUGUCUCCACCCGAGACUCAGUGAAAUUGAACUCGCUGUGAAGAUGCAGUGUACCCGCGGCAAGACGGAAAGACCCCGUGAACCUUUACUAUAGCUUGACACUGAACAUUGAGCCUUGAUGUGUAGGAUAGGUGGGAGGCUUUGAAGUGUGGACGCCAGUCUGCAUGGAGCCGACCUUGAAAUACCACCCUUUAAUGUUUGAUGUUCUAACGUGGACCCGUGAUCCGGGUUGCGGACAGUGUCUGGUGGGUAGUUUGACUGGGGCGGUCUCCUCCUAAAGAGUAACGGAGGAGCACGAAGGUUGGCUAAUCCUGGUCGGACAUCAGGAGGUUAGUGCAAUGGCAUAAGCCAGCUUGACUGCGAGCGUGACGGCGCGAGCAGGUGCGAAAGCAGGUCAUAGUGAUCCGGUGGUUCUGAAUGGAAGGGCCAUCGCUCAACGGAUAAAAGGUACUCCGGGGAUAACAGGCUGAUACCGCCCAAGAGUUCAUAUCGACGGCGGUGUUUGGCACCUCGAUGUCGGCUCAUCACAUCCUGGGGCUGAAGUAGGUCCCAAGGGUAUGGCUGUUCGCCAUUUAAAGUGGUACGCGAGCUGGGUUUAGAACGUCGUGAGACAGUUCGGUCCCUAUCUGCCGUGGGCGCUGGAGAACUGAGGGGGGCUGCUCCUAGUACGAGAGGACCGGAGUGGACGCAUCACUGGUGUUCGGGUUGUCAUGCCAAUGGCACUGCCCGGUAGCUAAAUGCGGAAGAGAUAAGUGCUGAAAGCAUCUAAGCACGAAACUUGCCCCGAGAUGAGUUCUCCCUGACCCUUUAAGGGUCCUGAAGGAACGUUGAAGACGACGACGUUGAUAGGCCGGGUGUGUAAGCGCAGCGAUGCGUUGAGCUAACCGGUACUAAUGAACCGUGAGGCUUAACCUU